AGCUGGUGCUUAUUUUUGUUUGUCUGUUUGUUUUCUUUCCCCCUCCUCCAGCUGCAGUGGCUUCCUACUAGGAUCCUAAGGUGAAAGGGAGAUGGAUGUAGAUGCAUUUUGGAAGUGGCUGCUGUUCCCCUCUUCUAGCCUGCAUCAGAUGGAAGACUGUUCUUGGGAAAUGGAUGCCAGUGGCCAGGACUGAGUCACGUUCUGAUGUCCUACUGCAAUGGAAGCAAGCAAGAAAGAAAUCACUCAAAAGAGAUUUCCAAAAAAGGAUGGAAAUGAAAACCAUUGAAAUCAUCUAAGGUACAUCAUCUGUUGCUGAAAUUUGUACUUUAGAUCCUAGUAAGGACUAAAGGUUAUCAUCUGCCUAUUGUCUGGCCUUCCCUGUGGGAUAUAGGUUUAAGGAAGGAGAUAUCUCUGCCUCAAGAAUGGCUACAUUGAGAAUCAGUCACAAGAAAUAUCAACCAACAUAAACCUCUUUGAAAUGAGCUCUAGUCAAGAGAAUGGAACUCACUACAAGGUCAGAAGGUUGCUUCAACUGCCUUCCACUCAAUGACCCUGCAUACUUUUCCAGGGAAUGUUAACCUUUGCACCCUGAAAAGUACCACUGUUUAAAAUUACUUUUCCUCUAACUUUAGGAGGUAAUUUUGGCUGACCUCAGGCUUUAAAACUUUUUUUCUAAUAUACUGUCCAUCUUUGAAACAUUUUCCUUAAAAUUUUACCUAUUACAUUUAACUUUUUAAAAUAUUACUGAGCUGAAUUUAUUCAUGUUUUAUCUUGCUGUUUUAUCAUGUUCUUAAAUAACAUUUUCUUUAAUUUGUUUUUAAAAUCUUCCAGAUGGUGAUAUUUUUCAUCUCUUAUUUAUUCUUAGCUUGUAUUCCAAAUCUUUCCCUUCAUCUCAUUUUCUGAUCAUUUUGUCUUCUGGAUUAAAUUAGCCAAGUGACAUACUUUUUGUGUAAUUUCACCAAGUUCAUUUUCCUGUGGUUUUUAAAACAAAUUUACACAUUUUCAUGUUAUUAAGUUUACUAUACCUAUUUAUCUUUAGCCCUCAUUCACCAGCUUAGAUCAACUAGUAGUAUAUUUUAUUUCCUAAUCACUCUUUCUUAGUUUUAAAUAUUUUAUUUAUUCCCUAAGUAUACUGCACCUUACUUUCUUCAGUCACCAUGUUACUAAAAGUGGGAAAAAUUCAAAAUAAAGAUGUAUGCUCUGUUUUACA
rnacentral:lncRNA from 1 species